GAGACAGCAGUCGCCACGGUAAUACGAAGGGGGCUAGCGUUGCUCGGAAUCACUGGGCGUAAAGGGUGCGUAGGCGGGUUUUUAAGUCAGGGGUGAAAUCCUGGAGCUCAACUCCAGAACUGCCCUUGAUACUGGGAAUCUUGAGUGAGGAAGAGGUAAGUGGAAUUGCGAGUGUAGAGGUGAAAUUCGUAGAUAUUCGCAGGAACACCAGUGGCGAAGGCGGCUUACUGGUCCACAACUGACGCUGAGGUGCGAAAGCGUGGGGAGCAAACAGGAUUAGAUACCCGUGUAGUCCCUGUCUCUUAUAC
rnacentral:rRNA from 1 species